rnacentral:rRNA from 1 species
GUCCACGCCGUAAACGAUGUCAACUAGCCGUCGGUGACCUUAGUGUCAUUGGUGGCGCAGCUAACGCGAUAAGUUGACCGCCUGGGGAGUACGGUCGCAAGAUUAAAACUCAAAUGAAUUGACGGGGGCCCGCACAAGCGGUGGAGCAUGUGGUUUAAUUCGACGCAACGCGAAGAACCUUACCAGGUCUUGACAUCCAGAGAAGUCGCUAGAGAUAGCUUCGUGCCUUCGGGAACUCUGAGACAGGUGCUGCAUGGCUGUCGU